UAUAAUGUAGGGAAAUAGAAUUAGGUUUUUAUUCUAUACUUGUACAUACACUAUAAUUGUUAAAUUUAGAAAUAAUUAUCUUUCUAAAAAAUUACCGAUAUGUCGAAAAGAUUGUGGUCCCGACAAAAGAGCUAUAAUCUGCCUGGUAUACACAAGCUUCAAGAUGAUAUUUUGCUGUGGAGCUGCUGUGAUCUACUGAUGGAAUAUACAUAUGUAUCUAUGAAAAACAAGAUAGCGCUAUAGUCGAGAUAACAGCAAUGUUGCAGCUCUAAACUGACCUGCAGGGCUGUGCGACGAAGGGGCCAGCGAAGGUUGUAUGCAAGCUCUCCUGCGAGUUCAGGUUCAGGCCUAAACCCGUGAGAUCCGUGCCCAAGGAGAGCGUCACCAGAUUGGGAUCCGUUUCUGCAGCCCGAAUGAACGUCAGCAGGCCAACCAUGCCGAACUGGUUGUUCACCAUGGUCGCUGGUAUGUUUGUGACCUUCCCUAAUUAUGCAAAACGAACGAAAGGUAAAUUUGUUAAAUUUUUAAGUAAAUAAAAGAUUUCAUGGUACAAUUAUUUGUGAAUAAAAUGGUGAAUAGUAAAGUAAA